UGCCAGCAGCCGCGGUAAUACGGAGGAUCCAAGCGUUAUCCGGAAUCAUUGGGUUUAAAGGGUUCGCAGGCGGUCAAUUAAGUCAGAGGUGAAAUCCCAUCGCUCAACGAUGGAACUGCCUUUGAUACUGAUUGACUUGAGUUAUAUGGAAGUAGAUAGAAUAAGUAGUGUAGCGGUGAAAUGCAUAGAUAUUACAUAGAAUACCGAUUGCGAAGGCAGUUCACUGGACCGUGAUCGACGCUGAGGAGCGAAAGCUAGGGGAGCAAACAGGAUUAGAUA
rnacentral:rRNA from 1 species